UGGGGAAUUUUGCACAAUGGGCGCAAGCCUGAUGCAGCCAUGCCGCGUGUAUGAAGAAGGCCUUCGGGUUGUAAAGUACUUUCAGCGGGGAGGAAGGGAGUAAAGUUAAUACCUUUGCUCAUUGACGUUACCCGCAGAAGAAGCACCGGCUAACUCCGUGCCAGCAGCCGCGGUAAUACGGAGGGUGCAAGCGUUAAUCGGAAUUACUGGGCGUAAAGCGCACGCAGGCGGUUUGUUAAGUCAGAUGUGAAAUCCCCGGGCUCAACCUGGGAACUGCAUCUGAUACUGGCAAGCUUGAGUCUCGUAGAGGGGGGUAGAAUUCCAGGUGUAGCGGUGAAAUGCGUAGAGAUCUGGAGGAAUACCGGUGGCGAAGGCGGCCCCCUGGGCGAAGACUGACGCUCAGGUGCGAAAGCGUGGGGAGCAAACAGG
rnacentral:rRNA from 1 species